AUUGAACGCUGGCGGCAGGCUUAACACAUGCAAGUCGAACGCCCCGCAAGGGGAGUGGCAGACGGGUGAGUAACGCGUGGGAAUCUACCUAGUUCUACGGAACAACAGAGGGAAACUUCUGCUAAUACCGUAUACGCCCUAUGGGGGAAAGAUUUAUCGGAAUUAGAUGAGCCCGCGUAAGAUUAGCUAGUUGGUGAGGUACUGGCUCACCAAGGCGACGAUCUUUAGCUGGUCUGAGAGGAUGAUCAGCCACACUGGGACUGAGAAACGGCCCAGACUCCUACGGGAGGCAGCAGUGGGGAAUAUUGGACAAUGGGCGCAAGCCUGAUCCAGCCAUGCCGCGUGAGUGAUGAAGGCCUUAGGGUUGUAAAGCUCUUUCAGUGGGGAAGAUAAUGACGGUACCCACAGAAGAAGCCCCGGCUAACUUCGUGCCAGCAGCCGCGGUAA
rnacentral:rRNA from 1 species